rnacentral:rRNA from 1 species
UACAGAGGUCUCAAGCGUUGUUCGGAUUCAUUGGGCGUAAAGGGUGCGUAGGCGGCGCGGUAAGUCGGGUGUGAAAUCUCGGGGCUUAACUCCGAAACUGCAUUCGAUACUGCCGUGCUUGAGGACUGGAGAGGAGACUGGAAUUUACGGUGUAGCGGUGAAAUGCGUAGAUAUCGGGAGGAACACCAGUAGCGAAGGCGGCUCGCUGGGACGUCACUGACGCUGAGACGCGAAAGCGUGGG